CGUGUAGGCGGAUAGGUCAGUCGAGGGUGAAAUCCUACAGCUUAACUGUAGAAUUGCCUUUGAUACUGCUUAUCUUGAGUUCGGGAGAGGGAAGCGGAAUUCCUGGUGUAGCGGUGAAAUGCGUAGAUAUCAGGAAGAACACCGGUAGCGAAGGCAGCUUCCUGGCCCGAUACUGACGCUGAAGCGCGAAAGCGUGGGGAGCAAACA
rnacentral:rRNA from 1 species